CUCUAGUGUAGACCAACUCACUUUCUGGAGGUAUACUGCCCCCAUCUUUCAUGGAAUGUGGAGUAUGAAUUGAUUUUUUGCCGGAUAUUACAUAUGGCACCUUUAAACUAAAUUAGCACUGAGGUAAGCA